rnacentral:rRNA from 1 species
UACAGAGGGGGCAAGCGUUGUUCGGAAUUACUGGGCGUAAAGGGCGCGUAGGCGGCCUUCUAAGUCGAACGUGAAAUCCCUCGGCUCAACUGAGGAACUGCACGGGAUACUGGAAGACUUGAGUUCGGGAGAGGGAAGCGGAAUUCCGGGUGUAGCGGUGAAAUGCGUAGAUAUCGGGAGGAACACCAGUGGCGAAGGCGACUACCUGGCCUGUUCUUGACGCUGAGGCGCGAAAGCUAGGGGAGCAAACGGG